UACGUAGGCAGCAAGCGUUGUUCGGAAUUACUGGGCGUAAAGAGUGUGUAGGCGGUGCUCCAAGUCUGGUGUGAAAUCCUCCCGGCUUAACUGGGAGGGUGCAUUAGAAACUGGAAUGCUAGAGGAUGGGAGAGGUAAGCGGAAUUCCUGGUGUAGCGGUGAAAUGCGUAGAUAUCAGGAGGAACACCUGUGGUGUAGACAGCUUACUGGACCAUUUCUGACGCUGAGACACGAAAGCCGUGGGUAGCAAACAGG
rnacentral:rRNA from 1 species